rnacentral:rRNA from 1 species
UACGUAGGGUGCGAGCGUUAAUCGGAAUUACUGGGCGUAAAGCGUGCGCAGGCGGUUCUGUAAGACGGAUGUGAAAGCCCCGGGCUCAACCUGGGAACUGCAUUCGUGACUGCAGGGCUAGAGUGUGUCAGAGGGAGGUGGAAUUCCGCGUGUAGCAGUGAAAUGCGUAGAGAUGCGGAGGAACACCGAUGGCGAAGGCAGCCUCCUGGGAUAACACUGACGCUCAUGCACGAAAGCGUGGGGAGCAAACAGGAUUAGAAACCCUUGUAGUCC